AGAGUUUGAUCCUGGCUCAAGAUGAACGCUAGCGACAGGCUUAACACAUGCAAGUCGAGGGGCAGCAGGAGAGGAGCAAUAUCUCAUCUGCCGGCGACCGCACCGGUGAGUAGCAAGUAUGCAGCAUCCCGCCUUCAGCAGGAUAAGAGGCAGAAAUUCCGUCUUAUAAUGCAUAAUACGUUAUGGGAACAUCUUCUUGAGAUCAAAGAGUGUUCUGACUAGGAUAGGCCUGUGUGGCACAUAGUUAGUUGGCGCGUGUAUAGGACCCCCACGAGGAGGAGACGUAGGGGUUUUGAGAGGAAGAUUCCCCACACUGGGAUUGUGACACGCACCAGAGUCUCAUGGGAGGCACACACAGAGGAAUAUUGGUCUAUGGGGGGGAGCCUGUGCCCCACAAGUGUCGUGAGGGAGGAGAGGUCCUUAGGAGGGUGAACCUCUUUUUUCUGGGAGCAAGGAGUGCCAUGAGGGGCCGGGCGAGAGUACCUGAAGAAAAAGCAUCGGCUAACUCCGUGCCAGCAGCCGCGGUAAUACGGAGGAUGCGAGCGUUAUCCGGAUUUAUUGGGUUUAAAGGGUGCGCAGGCGGACGGGAAAGUCAGCGGUAAAAUUGCGGAGCUCAACUCCUUCCAGCCGUUGAAACUGUGGUUCUAGAGUGGGCGAGAGGUAUGCGGAAUGCGUGGUGUAGCGGUGAAAUGCAUAGAUAUCACGCAGAACUCCGAUUGCGAAGGCAGCAUACCGGCGCCCAACUGACGCUCAGGCACGAAAACGUGGGGAUCCAACAGGAUUAGAUACCCUGGUAGUCCACGCAGUAAACGAUGAAUGCUACUUGUUCGGCUCGAAUGAGGGCUGAGUGAUACAGCGAAAGCGUUAAGUAUUCCACCUGGGGAGUACGCCGGCAACGGUGAAACUCAAAGGAAUUGACGGGGGCCCGCACAAGCGGAGGAGCAUGUGGUUUAAUUCGAUGAUACGCGAGGAACCUUACCCGGGCUCAAACGACAGAGGGAUACUUUUGAAAGGAGGUAGCUCUUCGGAGCGUCAGUCGAGGUGCUGCAUGGUUGUCGUCAGCUCGUGCCGUGAGGUGUCGGCUUAAGUGCCAUAACGAGCGCAACCCCCAUCUACAGUUGCCAUCGAGUGGAGUCGGGCACUCUGUAGAGACUGCCGGCGCAAGCAGCGAGGAAGGCGGGGAUGACGUCAAAUCAGCACGGCCCUUACGUCCGGGGCGACACACGUGUUACAAUGGCGGGGACAGCGGGAAGCCACCUGGCGACAGGGAGCGGAACCCGAAACCCCGUCUCAGUUCGGAUUGGAGUCUGCAACUCGACUCCAUGAAGCUGGAUUCGCUAGUAAUCGCGCAUCAGCCACGGCGCGGUGAAUACGUUCCCGGGCCUUGCACACACCGCCCGUCA
rnacentral:rRNA from 1 species